UUAAUAGUACUGGAGCCUGAAAUCCUCUGUUUAUCUACAGAAUGGGUACAGCAUAGGCCACAGCAGUGCAAACUUCCUCACAUCGCCUUGACAACGUGCCUCAACCCUUCCCUGGGAGAGACUGCCUCUGAAGGUGAAAGGGAAGGUCCAUUUCUAUGGCUUACUUCAGCCUCGGCCUCU
ensembl:misc_RNA